AGUAAUCACUGGCGAGCAAUAAUGUGAUAGGGCAUCAGGAGGAAGAGAGCUUGUCGUGCUAAGACAUUCUGAAAAUAAACUAUACUUUCUUUUUCUUUCUUUCAUCACAGGUGUAAUACUUCUCCACAUCUGCUUCAGGAAGAAAGUGCCUGCUACUCUUACUGUUUCUACGCAGGUUCAUGCCAGCCCAGAACGCAGAAUCAGAUGGUUUUCUCUGCUUUCUGAAUCAGUGCACGGUGGUUGGUUGUGGUUUCCCCAGAGCUAAUAACCUUGGUUGUCAUAAUCCAGAUUCUGACUUGCAGGUGAGAGGAUCCAACGGUCUCAAGUUAUGAAGCCUGUCGGUUCUGUUCCGUCAGUGGUUGUGGGAAGGACCCAGUUAUGUGUUCGCAAGACUGUUGCCUUUCGCUGAGUGGGGAAAGGGCACAUUCUCUAAGGACUUGUGUGUAGGAAGAAAAUAACUAUCUUUUUGUAUCAUAACUGAAGCAAACCAUUAUCCAUGGAAAAAUUUUUUUUGAGAUUUUAAGUUCUGAUACACUGUUGGCUUUUUCUUACCUUUGUUAAGUGUAGGGAUUUUGUGGCAAACUUAGUUUCCCCAGCUCACAUUUUAUGGGUCUGGAAUGGGGAA
rnacentral:lncRNA from 1 species